GUGGGGGAUAUUGCACAAUGGGGGAAACCCUGAUGCAGCGACACCGCGUGGGUGAAGAAGCGCUUCGGCGUGUAAAGCCCUAUCAGUGGGGAAGAAAAAGGACGGUACCCAAAGAAGAAGCACCGGCUAAAUACGUGCCAGCAGCCGCGGUAAUACGUAUGGUGCAAGCGUUAUCCGGAAUGACUGGGUGUAAAGGGAGCGUAGACGGUUGUACAAGUCUGAUGUGAAAGCCCACGGCUCAACUGUGGGAGUGCAUUGGAAACUGUAGAACUAGAGUAUCGGAGAGGCAAGUGGAAUUCCUAGUGUAGCGGUGAAAUGCGUAGAUAUUAGGAGGAACACCAGUGGCGAAGGCGGCUUGCUGGACGAAAACUGACGUUGAGGCUCGAAAGCGUGGGGAGCAAACAGGA
rnacentral:rRNA from 1 species